rnacentral:rRNA from 1 species
UUCGGGUGUGAGUAUAGUGGCAAACGGGUGAGUAACACGUGGGAACGUACCUUUUGGUUCGGGACAACAGUUGGAAACGACUGCUAAUACCGGAUAAGCUCUAAGGAGGAAAGAUUUAUUGCCGAAAGAUCGGCCCGCGCAAGAUUAGCUAGUUGGUGAGGUAAUGGCCCACCAAGGCUACGAUCUUUAGCUGGUUUGAGAGGAUGAUCAGCCACACUGGGACUGAGAUACGGCCCAGACUCC